rnacentral:rRNA from 1 species
GGUUAAGCGACUAAGCGUACACGGUGGAUGCCUAGGCAGUCAGAGGCGAUGAAGGGCGUGCUAAUCUGCGAAAAGCGUCGGUAAGGUGAUAUGAACCGUUAUAACCGACGAUACCCGAAUGGGGAAACCCAGUGCAAUUCGUUGCACUAUUGCAUGGUGAAUACAUAGCCAUGCAAGGCGAACCGGGGGAACUGAAACAUCUAAGUACCCCGAGGAAAAGAAAUCAACCGAGAUUCCCCCAGUAGCGGCGAGCGAACGGGGAGGAGCCCAGAACCUGAAUCAGCGUAUGUGUUAGUGGAAGCGUCUGGAAAGUCGCACGGUACAGGGUGAUAGUCCCGUACACAAAAAUGCAUAUGUUGUGAGUUCGAUGAGUAGGGCGGGACACGUGACAUCCUGUCUGAAUAUGGGGGGACCAUCCUCCAAGGCUAAAUACUCCUGACUGACCGAUAGUGAACCAGUACCGUGAGGGAAAGGCGAAAAGAACCCCGGCGAGGGGAGUGAAACAGAACCUGAAACCGUGUACGUACAAGCAGUGGGAGCACCUUCGUGGUGUGACUGCGUACCUUUUGUAUAAUGGGUC